GACGAACGCUGGCGGCGUGCUUAACACAUGCAAGUCGAACGGACAGGCCCUGCUUUUGCUGCGUGCUUGUGUGGCGAACGGGUGAGUAAAACGUGUGUAACCUGUCCUUGACUUUCGGAUAUCAUCAGGAAACUGGGGCUAAUACACGAGAGGAUCUUCUGCUGCGUGUGGGUGGUUGGAAAGUUUCGGCGGUGGGGGAUGGACUCGCGGCUUAUCAGCUUGUUUGGCGGGUAGUGACUUACCAAGGUUGUGACGGGUAGGCGGCCUGAGAGGGUUGACGGCGACCUUGGUACUACGAUACGGACCAGACGCGUACGGGAGGCAGCAGUGGGGAGUAUGACACAAUGGGCGGGAGCGUGAUGCAGCAACGCCGCGUGCGGGAUGACGGCCUUCGGGUUGUAAACCGAUUUCGCCUGUGACGAAGAGUGAGUGACGGUAAUGGGUAAAGAAGCACCGGCUAACUACGUG
rnacentral:rRNA from 1 species